rnacentral:lncRNA from 1 species
AUUUGAGGAGGGGGCGGCGGGACGCGGGGGGAGGAGAAAUUUGGGGGGAAAAAAGGGAAAAUUUGGGAAUUUUUUUGGGAAAAAUUUUGGGGAAGAAUUUGGGGAGGGAGGGGGCGCCGGUAAAAUCAACCCCGGUACCGGGAACCGGGAUCGGAACCGGGAUUCGGUACCGGGAUCGGGAUUUUGGAUCGGUACCGGGAUAUGGGAAUGGCCCCCCCCCCGGUACCGGAACCGGGAUUUGGGGUCGGGAUCGGUACCGGGACCGGGAUUUUGGAUCGGGACCGGGAAUCGGGAUUUGGAAUCGGUACCGGGAAUCGGGAUCGGUACCGGGAUUUGGGAAUGGCCCCCUCGGUGCGGUACCGGAAUCCGGGAUCGGUACCAGGAUUUGGGGUCGGUACCGGGAUUUGGUACCGGGAAUGGCCCCCUCGGUUCGGGGUCGGUAUCGGGAGCCCGGAUCGGUACCGGGACCCGGGAAUGCCCCCCCGGUUCGGGAUCGGUACCGGGAUCUGGGUUUGGUACCGGAAUCAGGACCCGGGAUCGGCGCCCCCGGUACCGGGAUCAGGACCCGGGUUCGGCCCCCGGUACCGGGAUCGGUCCCGUUCUCGGUGCCGGUUCCCCGGCCCAGCCCCCGCCGCCGGUACCGGAGCCACCCCCGGGCCCGCUCUCGGUGCCGCCCCCGCGCUCCCGCUCCGGAUCCGCUCCCGAUCCAUCCGCGCUGCCGGUACCGGAACCGGAACCCGAACCAGAACCCAAACCGACCCCGGGCUCCUCAAUCCCAUCCCCGGUACCGGAACCAGAACCGACCCCGCGCUCCGGGCCCGCUCCUCAAUCCCGGAUCCACCCCCGGUCCCGGUACCGAUCCCCGCUCCAUCCCCCGGUUCCGGUACCGAUCCCGGCUCCAUCCCCCGGUUCCGGUACCGAUCCCCGCUCCAUCCCCCGGUUCCGGUUCCGGUACCGAUCCCGGCUCCAUCUCCUGUUCCCGGUUCCGGUCCCGGACCCAUCCUCGCUCCCGGUACCGAUCGCGGCUCCAUCCCCCGGUUCCGGUUCCGUUCCUGGUCCCGAUCCCGGCCCCGGCUCCGUCCUCGCUCCCGGUCCCAUUCUCGGUUCCAUUCCCGGUCCCCGUUCCCGAUCCGGUCCCGGUUCUGGUUCCGUUCCCAGUCCCAGUCCCGAUUCCCGGUCCCGGUCCCGGUCCCGGUUCCGGUUCCGGUUCCCAGUCCCUGUUCAGAUUGAUCCCGGUCCCAUUCCCGGUCCUGGUUCCGGUCCCGGUUCCGGUUCUGAUUGGCCCCGGUUGUAGUCCCGGUUCCAUUCCUGGUUCUGGAUCCAUUCCCGGUUCCGGUUCCGUUCCCGGUACCGAUCCCGAACCCAUUCCCGGUUCGGGUUCCG